rnacentral:rRNA from 1 species
CCAGCAGCCGCGGUAAUUCCAGCUCCAAUAGCGUAUUUUGAAGUUGUUGCGGUUGAAAGGCUCGUAGUCGAACUUUUGGUUCUUUGAAACUGUCCCUCCUUCUUUGAUUGAGCGUGACGGUGUCGAGAACCUUCCUGAUGGAGAGCGUUUCUGCCCUUUACUAGGUUGGUUGCGUAAUCCAUCUCUUUUACUGUGAGAAAAACAAAGUGCUCAAAGCAGACAUUUUUGCUUGAAUGCGUUAGUAUGGAAUAAAAAGAUAGGACUUUGCUUCUAUUUUGUUAGCUUUGAGAAAAAAGUAAUGGUUGAUAGGAAUAGUUGGGGGUGCUCGUAUUCAACGGUCAGCGGUGAAAUGCAUGGACCCGUUAAAGACGAACUUAUGCGAAAGCAUUCACCAAGGAUAUCUUCUUUGAUCAAGAACGAAAGU